rnacentral:rRNA from 1 species
UACGGAGGGUGCGAGCGUUGUCCGGAAUCACUGGGCGUAAAGGGCGCGUAGGCGGCCUGAUAAGUAGGGGGUGAAAUCUUGCGGCUUAACCGCAAGGCUGCCUUCUAAACUGUCGGGCUAGAGCACAGUAGAGGCAGGUGGAAUUCCCGGUGUAGCGGUGGAAUGCGUAGAUAUCUGGAGGAACACCGGUGGCGAAGGCGGCGUUCUGGACUGCAACUGACACUGAAAAACGAAAGCCAGGGGAGCAAACGGG